rnacentral:rRNA from 1 species
AUACGUAGGGAGCGAGCGUUGUCCGGAUUUACUGGGUGUAAAGGGUGCGUAGGCGGGUCUGCAAGUCAGACGUGAAAUCCCGUGGCUUAACUGCGGGGCUGCGUUUGAAACUGCGGAUCUUGAGUGAAGUAGAGGCAGGCGGAAUUCCUAGUGUAGCGGUGAAAUGCGUAGAUAUUAGGAGGAACACCAGUGGCGAAGGCGGCCUGCUGGGCUUUAACUGACGCUGAGGCACGAAAGCAUGGGGAGC